UUGUAAACUCCUGUCAGAGGGAAUAAGCAAGUGAAGUACUCUAGAGGAAGGGGCGGUAAUUCCGUGCCAGCAGCCGCGGUAACACGGAAGCCCCGACGUGUCGGAUCAUUGGGCGUAAAGGGUGCGUAGGCGGCGCGGAAAGUCCGGCGUGAAAGGCAGAGGCUCAACCUACUGGACUGCCGUUGGAUACUUCCGUGCUUGAGGACUGGGAGGGGAGACUGGAAUUCACGGUGUAGCAGUGAAAUGCGUAGAUAUCGUGAGGAAGACCGGUGGCCGAAGGCGAGUCUCUGGACAGAUCCUGACGCUGAGGCACGAAGGCUGGGGGAGCGAACAGGAUUAGAUACCCUGGUAGUCCCAGCAGUUAAACGAUGUGAGCUUGAUGUGGGGGGAUUCGACCCCUUCCGUGUCGAAGCUAACGCGAUAAGCUCACCGCCUGAGGAGUACGGCCGCAAGGCUAAAACUCAAAGAAAUUGACGGGGACCCGCACAAGCGGUGGAGUAUGUGGCUUAAUUCGAUGCAACGCGAAGAACCUUACCUGGCCUUGACAUGCAUUGUGUCGUCGGUGAAAGCCGGCUAGUCCUGGAAACAGGACGCUUUGCACAGGUGCUGCAUGGCUGUCGUCAGCUCGUGUCGUGAGAUGUUGGGUUAAGUCCCGCAACGAGCGCAACCCUUGUGGUCAGUUACUAACCGGCUUAGCCGGAGGACUCUGGCCAGACUGCCCUGUCAAACGGGGAGGAAGGUGGGGACGACGUCAAGUCAGUAUGGCCCUUAUGGCCAGGGCUGCACACGUACUACAAUGCCCGGUACAAUGUGAACCGAAACCGCGAGGUGGAGGAAAUCGCUCUUGAAAACCGGGCCCAGUUCGGAUUGGAGUCUGCAACUCGACUCCAUGAAGUCGGAAUCGCUAGUAAUGGCGUAUCAGCAACGACGCCGUGAAUACGUUCCCGGGUCUUGUACACAUCGCCCGUCACAUCAUGGGAGUCUCCUGUACCCGAAGCACGUGCGCCAACCUUUUAGGAGGCAGCGUUCGAAGGUAUGGGAGGUAACUGGGAUGAAGUC
rnacentral:rRNA from 1 species